GUUCUUAUGGUGUAAAAUAACACAUUGCAUUUUCGUUGCAAAACUGAAAUUCUAAUUUCUAAAAACU
rnacentral:tRNA from 1 species